CCUACGGGAGGCAGCAGUAGGGAAUAUUGCUCAAUGGGGGAAACCCUGAAGCAGCAACGCCGCGUGGAGGAUGAAGGUUUUAGGAUUGUAAACUUCUUUUGUGAGAGAAGAAAAUAAUGGUAGCUCACGAUUAAGAACCCGCUAACUCCUUGCCAGCAGCCGCGGUAAGACGGCGGGUGCAAGCGUUAUUAUGAAUAACUGGGGGUAAAGAGGGCGGAGGCGGGUGUGUAAGUCGGAUGUGAAAGCCUGUAGCGUAACUACAGGACUGCAGUUGAAACUAUGAGUCUAGAGUGCAGGAGAGGUAGGUGGAAUUCUUGGUGUAGCGGUGAAAUGCGUAGAUAUUAAGAGGAACACUAGUUGCGAAGGCGACCUACUGGAACGUAACUGACGUUGAUGCGCGAAAGCGUGGGGAGCAAACAGGAUUAGAUACCCCUGUAGUC
rnacentral:rRNA from 1 species